UCGGGAGGCUCCGGACCGGACC
rnacentral:misc_RNA from 1 species